UGGUGUUAAAAUUUAAAGGAGGUAAAUUUGAGGAUAAUAAUAAAUUAAACAGUUUAAACAAUGAACUCAGGUCCUGUCCCAUAAUACUUCACACUCAUGGGAAAUAUAACAUAGCUAUGUGGGACAAGGGUUACAUAUGUUUAACAUGACAGGGAUACCAGUAGGGACAGACAGAGGACAUCAGUCUGAGGCCAGGACAAAUCAGCUCUCAAUCCUCUUCUUCUCUUCUUCCUUUCAGGUAUCAGUUUAUGGGAUGGAAAUGUAAGAUCUGCACUUUUCAGGCGUCAUCCAUAAACUAUCUACCAGACUAGCCUUCAGGUAAAAGCAGUGAUCACCAGGAACAACUGUCUGAGGUUAAGAAGAAGCUCAGCAUUUGUGUUUAGAAGACAUGACAUCAUCAGUCUUCAGAUGAGCAUCCAGGAGAUGGUGGAGAGGUGGUCUUCCUUGUUUGAUGUGUCUGAGGUCAAUGCAGAGUUCCAGCAGAUCACCACAGUAAAUGUUGAGGCCAAAUUCAUUUCAACUGCUGUCCAUCUUCCAAGCUAAGAAAAGUGCUGCUGGAGCCUGACACCGUGCAAGAACUGAUGCUGUUCUCCAGAGUGGAGUUGCUGUUGAGAAAACCAGAGAAUUCUUCAUCCGAUGUCCCAUUGAUCACCCUGGGAAAGAUGAUAAUGCUUUAAUCAAGGAGUUAAAGGCAAGUGCAGUUAAUGACUUUGUGGGUUCUCCCUACAAUGUAUCUGUUAGUAUGUCAUUAAUUCCUCUACUUAUAUAUGCUAUUUUACAACAGUUAGUUCUGACCAAAUGAUUUGAUUGGACAACAGACAUUUCAAGAGUGCUGAUAUAAAGCAACAAUGGCACCAGGACUUCUUAUGGAUCAUAUCACUCUACUGUACAACUGAUGUAAAUACCAUUAAUUAUAG
rnacentral:lncRNA from 1 species